rfam:Picea glauca, whole genome shotgun sequence.
GUAACGGUGUCUUUAGACACCACCCUUUGUCUUAGAAUUUUUUUUU